AUUGAACGCUGGCGGCAUGCUUUACACAUGCAAGUCGAACGGAGAUGUAAUUUCGGUUAUAUCUUAGUGGCGAACGGGUGAGUAACGCGUGAGCAACCUGACUCUUAGAGGGGGAUAACACCCGGAAACGAGUGCUAAUACCGCAUAAGACCACGACAUGGCAUCAUGACGAGGUCAAAGGAGCAAUCCGCUGAGAGAGGGGCUCGCGUCCCAUUAGAUAGAUGGCGGGGGUAACGGCCCACCAUGUCAACGAUGGGUAGCCGAGCUGAGAGGCUGAUCGGCCACACUGGAACUGAGACACGGUCCAGACUCCUACGGGGAGGCAGCAGUGGGGAAUAUUGGGGCAAUGGGCGC
rnacentral:rRNA from 1 species